rnacentral:rRNA from 1 species
GAUGAACGCUAGCGGCAGGCUUAACACAUGCAAGUCGAGGGGCAGCGGGGAGGAAGCUUGCUUUCCUUGCCGGCGACCGGCGCACGGGUGAGUAACACGUAUGCAACCUGCCCUCUUCAGGGGGACAACCUUCCGAAAGGGAGGCUAAUCCCGCGUAUAUCGGUUUCGGGCAUCCGUUAUCGAGGAAAGAUUCAUCGGAAGAGGAUGGGCAUGCGGCGCAUUAGCUAGACGGCGGGGUAACGGCCCACCGUGGCGACGAUGCGUAGGGGUUCUGAGAGGAAGGUCCCCCACACUGGUACUGAGACACGGACCAG